CACUAAUUUAACCCACACAUUUUGUAGAGGGGCGGCUUUAGGCGGAACACAACAGUAUCGUACCAUAUGCAUCUUUGCAUAUGCAAGUUUUUUUCUAUUCGGAAGUUGUAAGAAAUUCCGCACGAAUGUUAUAGUUCAAGCACAAAGAAGGAAAUAUAGAAGUGAGUAAAAUUGAUCAUAUGUUGUAUUUGUAUUAAAAGCAUUACAGAAGUGUACCAUUAGAUCAGCUUAUCUUAACCUGGCCGUUUGUUACUUUGUGGCAGUAUGAAAAAUGAUAAAAUAUAUGAUCAACAAACUCAUGGUGCUGAGUGUUUUUACUUAAAGGCAGUCGCUGUUCAAACUGGAUAAGUCCUUUGCGCAACUGCAGUGAAGACUUCGCGCGCCGUUCCCGCAAUUUCGCAUAAAUUGUUGAGACACACCUCUAAACAAAAGAACGGAAAGUUUUCAGCUCUUCACGGUUGAAGACGGGAAGUUUUAGCAGAAGUAUUCUAGAUUCACACGAUAGAGAACACAGCAAUUUUGACGGACUGGGUCGAGGAAACGAAACGCAAACCAAGCAAGAUAAAUGUUGCCUUAUCGGCUCGCUUGUCAGGGAAGACAUCCUCCUCCCUCAUGUGGUACCCUUCCUGCAGGCUCAUCCUGACAUGACCCUCCAGCAUGACAAUGCCACCAGCCAUACUGCUCGUUCUGUGCGUGAAUUCCUGCAAGACAGGAAUGUCACUGUUCUGCCAUGGCCAGCGACGAGCCCGGAUCUCAAUCCCAUUGAGCACGUCUGGGAACCCCCCCCAGAAGUGUCCAGGAACUUGCAGGUGCCUUGGUGGAAGAGUGGGGUAACAUCUCACAGCAAGAACUGGUAAAUCUGGUGCAGUCCAUGAGGAGGAGAUGCACUGCAGUACAUAAUGCAGCUGGUGGCCACACCAGAUACCGACUGUUACUUUUGAUUUUGACCCCCCCUUUUGUUCAAGGGCACAUUAUGUGACUAACAGAAAUGGAAUGUCUGUGGAACUUGUUCAGUUUGUCUUAAUUGUUGAAUCUUGUUAUGUUCAUACAAAUAUUUACAUGUUAAAUUUGCUGAAAAUAAAC
ensembl:lncRNA